AGAGAUUUGGGGAGAAUCCUCCAGGCCUGAUGACUUCCUAUAAGAGAGCAUUAAACGUGCUUGAGGCCUGCAAAGUGUUACGUCCUCAGAAUCGGUACCAUCCCCAUAGUGUCCAACAGCCUGGCCCUACCUUAGGAGCUGGGCAGAAGGGAGGAAAGUAAAAGCCAUGGAGGAACUAGGGAAAGGGGAAGCAGGGGAGGAGAAGGAAGAUUCCACAGAAAAGCAGCCUAGGCUGCAGGUGGUAGGUGUUUGUAAGCCCACAGAGAUGCUUGGCCACUCCCUGCCAGGAGAGAGGGAAGCUCUAGGGUCAGGUGAGGUUCCCCAGCUCAGCACCUGCUGGCUAAGGCCUGCCACUCCAGCUGCGCCCUCUUCUCCACUCUGCUCCCCAGCAGCCAGUUUUUCAGGAGGCAAUGCUACAGCUUAAUCAGAAUUAUUUACAAGAUAAUGGUCCAUUGUUUGCACUAAGACAGAUGUUGUCUGUGGGAACUUUGUGUUUUAUGCUCUCUCCCUGCUCAGCCUUCCCUGGUGCAGAUGGGACCCAAGUAAUGUGAGUUAUUAUUCGGGAUGGGAAUCUGGAGGCUCCUCCUCUGCCUCUCAGACUCUGCUGGGUCACACGGAUAGCUUGCCUCUGAGGUGGCCAGGAGUCUAGAGGGCCACUGCUGGCUGCAGGGCCAGGCAGAGCCCUCCAGCAGGCUGUGAUUAAGAAGGUCAUGUGUCCUCGAGGGGCGGGCGGGUUGGUGUGAUCGCCUUGUCCAGGACAGGAAGGACUCAGGCUGAUUAAGAUGUACUUGCUAUGUGUUGACUUGUGAGGUCACCACUGACAUCUCCAACGAGGGUGGCCAUCUGGUCCUGCUCUGCCAAAGGCUAAGAGCAGCCCCUCUCUGGCGGGGGCUGUGCAGUCCUGAUCCUCUUCUAUGACUGGCCACAGGCUUUGCUCUGGGUCUUCUGUGGUCACUUCAGGAGUCAGCUCCACUGAGGUUGAGAUUCUCCCUCUCUUGCUUCGAAGGUGCAGCUGGGCAGAAGAAUGUAGGUCUUUCCCUCGGGACUGAGCAACGAGGGAGCUCACAGAUCAGGAGGAAGUUGGGGCUUGGUGGAGGUGUGCAUGGGAGACUCUGUGUCCCAGCUUCUAACACCAAGUCAAACAGGUAUCCCGCUCUGCCACCCUCCCCGCUCCAUUGGAAAAUCCAGUUAUCCAGCCCUUGAAAUCAGCCAGUCCUUCAGACAUUUCUAAGUUUCCAGCCACUUCUGCAUAGAGAGCCUCAUUACCCCAUUGGCUGUCACAACCCAUUUUAUGAAUGAGAAAAUGGAGGCCAAGAGAAAGCAGGCCACUUGCUUCCUGAAUAUGACUCACAGCUGCAGCCAUGCCUUCCUAUUGGCUCUGUGGACCUCAUCUUGGUCACUUGCUUGCAGGACAUGGAACAAGUAGAGAGUCAUUCCCUGAGGUGUACCUAUCAGAGCCUAGCACCUGGAGAGGCUUGCUGGACAGCCAGAACUUAAUGUUAUUGAGGCAAGGGCCAGACCACUGAGGUACACUGCCAAGCCUCUCUUAAUUUUUUUUUUAAAGACAGGAUCUCAAAAAGUAACCUAGACUGGUCUAGAACUUGGGGAUCCUUCUGUCUCUGCCUACUAAGUUGUGAGCUCACAGGUGUUUACUUUUUGUACACACCUCCAUUUUUUUUUUAAAAUACAAUGUAUUUUUCUAUAUCCAGCAGCAGCCUAGAACAAAUGCACACAGAUUAAUGUAUGUGGUCACCUUGGGAUGUGUGAAAAACAAGAAGAAAUAGGAAAGAGAGUGGCUUUUGUGAACUAAGUGAGCACGCACCCGGUAUGUGGAUGCCCAGAGGAAAGCAGCCACUUCUCUGGCGUUUGCUGACCCACAUGCUACCCAGGAGUCAUUUCUAACCCUGGGACCUCAUUGCCUUCAUAAAUAAGCUAUGUAGAGCAUCUUGGCCAUGUUGAAGAUGACAAUCUCCUGCCUUCUUCCUGAUAGCACCUGUCCCCACCUGAGGAAUGGCUCUGGCAGACUUAACAGAAAGACCUGGUCUUCUAAGUUAUGUGACAGGCCAAACCGAGGUUAAAAUGAUAUACACUCACUGUAAACCCUGGUGUAUUGGCGUAGGCCCGUAACCUCAGAACUCAGGAGUCGGAAAGAAGAUCAGGGGUUCAAGGCUGAGGCUCUGUUAUGUAGGGGACUCUGUCUCAAAAAAUUUUAUAACUAAAAUUUUAUAGUAUGAGCCAAGGCCACGUCAUAUUCUCAGCCCCUUACAGAGGAUAAUGCCAACUACAUCUUUUCCACAAACCCC
rnacentral:lncRNA from 1 species